rnacentral:rRNA from 1 species
GACGAACGCUGGCGGCGUGCUUAACACAUGCAAGUCGAACGGAAAGGCCCUGCUUUUGUGGGGUGCUCGAGUGGCGAACGGGUGAGUAACCCGUGAGUAACCUGCCCUUGACUUUGGGAUAACUUCAGGCAACUGGGGCUAAUACCUGCUAGGAGCUCCUGCUGCAUGGUGGGGGUUGGACAGUUUCGGCGGUUGGGGAUGGACUCGCGGCUUAUGAGCUUGUUGGGGGGGUAGUGGCUUACCAAGCGUUUGACAGGUAGCCGGCAUGGGAGGGGGACCAGCGUCAUUGGGACUGAGGUACGGACCAGACGGCUACGGGAGGCAGCAGUGGGGAAUAUGGUACAACGGGCGGAAGUCUGAUGAAGCAACGCUGCGAGCGGGAUGACGGCCUUCUGGUUGUAAACCGCAGUCGCCUGUGACGAAGCGUGAGUGACGGUAAUGGGUAAAGAAGCACCGGCUAACUACGUG